AGUGAACGCUGGCGGCGUGCUUAACACAUGCAAGUCGAACGAGAACGGAUCUAGCUUGCUAGAUUGUCAGCUAAGUGGCGCACGGGUGAGUAAUGUAUAGGUAAUAUGCCUCUUAGUAAGGGAUAACAAGCGGAAACGCUUGCUAAUACCUUAUAUGCCUUUUAAUCAUAAGAUUGUAAAGGGAAAGAUUUAUUGCUAAGAGAUUGGCCUGUAUGGUAUCAGCUUGUUGGUGGGGUAAAGGCCUACCAAGGCUAUGACGCCUAACUGGUUUGAGAGGAUGAUCAGUCACACUGGAACUGAGACACGGUCCAGACUCCUACGGGAGGCAGCAGUGGGGAAUAUUGCGCAAUGGGCGAAAGCCUGACGCAGCAACGCCGCGUGGAGGAUGACACUUUUCGGAGCGUAAACUCCUUUUAUAUAGGAAGAUAAUGACGGUACUAUAUGAAUAAGCACCGGCUAACUCCGUGCCAGCAGCCGCGGUAAUACGGAGGGUGCAAGCGUUACUCGGAAUCACUGGGCGUAAAGAGCGUGUAGGCGGAUUAGUAAGUUUGAAGUGAAAUCCUAUGGCUCAACCAUAGAACUGCUUUGAAAACUGCUAAUCUAGAGUAUGGGAGAGGCAGAUGGAAUUUCUGGUGUAGGGGUAAAAUCCGUAGAUAUCAGAAGGAAUACCGAUUGCGAAGGCGAUCUGCUGGAACAUUACUGACGCUAAGACGCGAAAGCGUGGGGAGCAAACAGGAUUAGAUACCCUGGUAGUCCACGCCCUAAACGAUGUACACUAGUUGUUGUGAGGCUUUGUCCUUGCAGUAAUGCAGCUAACGCAGUAAGUGUACCGCCUGGGGGAGUACGGUCGCAAGAUUAAAACUCAAAGGAAUAGACGGGGACCCCGCACAAGCGGUGGAGCAUGUGGUUUAAUUCGAAGAUACGCGAAGAACCUCACCUGGUCUUGACAUAGGAAGAACUUACUAGAGAUAGUUUGGUGCUAGCUUGCUAGAACUUCCAUACAGGUGCUGCACGGCUGUCGUCAGCUCGUGUCGUGAGAUGUUGGGUUAAGUCCCGCAACGAGCGCAACCCUCGUUCUUAGUUGCUAACACUUCGGGUGAGAACCCUAAGAAGACUGCCUUCGUAAGGAGGAGGAAGGUGAGGACGACGUCAAGCCAUCAUGGCCCUUACGACCAGGGCUACACACGUGCUACAAUGGGGUAUACAAAAAGCAGCAAUACCGCGAGGUGGAGCAAAUCUUUAAAAUACCUCCCAGUUCGGAUUGUAGUCUGCAACUCGACUACAUGAAGUUGGAAUCGCUAGUAAUCGUGAAUCAGCAAUGUCACGGUGAAUACGUUCCCGGGUCU
rnacentral:rRNA from 1 species